GAUCAAUUCAGCAAGCUUGUUGUGCAGGACGCCGUUGGUGAUGAGAAUGCCACCAUGAGGGUAAAUGUCUCUGCGCCCAGUUAGGUCAGCUUCAAGAUCCAAAGGUUCCCCUCUCCAGUCAGUAACCUGCCAGUCAAACAAAUCACAGAAUCACCAUGGUUAAUAAUGUUUCAGUGUUUACGUUGGUUAAUUGAUUGAACAAAUGCUAAGCGUGUUAUUCCAUACUUGGCCUCCAGCUUCCUGCACACAAAUUACUCCUACAGUAUGAUCCCAAGACUGUAAACAGUGGAGAAAAUAAAGGAUCAGUGCGGUUAUAAACUAAGUCAAGAGUUUGUUUAGUUUGGACAGAAACUGCAAACAAGAUUUCACCUUGAGGCUUUUCGUCCGUGCUUUAAGGACGAAAACUGAGGCUCUCCCAUAGGCUACAGUAAGGUACUUGCACAAACUACGGAAGAUGAAUAAGAAGAAUGCAUUCGAUCACUUAUACUGACCAAUUUAUAAAUAAUUUAAGAUUAGUCAUUAUC
rnacentral:sRNA from 1 species